AUGCCUUUGGUUAAGAUAUAAGUUAAAUAGUUAGAAUCUUGGUUUGAAAAAACUCAUCAGAGUGAGAGGUCUUCACGCUGUGUAUCCAUGGGAUUGUGAAAAAAUAUAGAGUGAGAGCUCUCACCAGAGUUAGAAGAUCUUGGACGUCUUUGUUGAAGGGAGAAAUUAACAGUUUCUCGGUAUUUCCAAACUUUUCUUAGACUCAUUAUUCUUCUCCUAGUGCUUGUGCUUGUGGAAUUCUAUGUCUUUUUACAAUAUAAUAAGGAAUGAUAAGGAUAAACUCCAUUUGAAAAGAAAAGAAAGCCUUGUGUGGAGCAUCAACCCUUUUAUUUGUUCGCUGGCUGUCUAGUGUCACGAAAGUAGGCGUGUAUCGAGGACAGCACAG